UACGUAGGGUGCAAGCGUUGUCCGGAAUUAUUGGGCGUAAAGAGCUCGUAGGCGGCUUGUCGCGUCGGCUGUGAAAACCUGGGGCUCAACCCCGGGCCUGCAGCCGAUACGGGCAAGCGUAGAAUUCGGUAGGGGAGGACUGGAAUUCCAGGUGUAGCGGUGAAAUGCGUAGAUAUCUGGAGGAAUACCGGUGGCGAAGGCGGCAUCCUGGACCGGCAUUGACGCUGAACGGCGAAAGCAGGGGAGCGAAACGGG
rnacentral:rRNA from 1 species